UUUAAUGAGAGGAUAACAUUAUAACAUGAUAUAAAACUCAAAAAAGUUGAUUUUACAUGAUAUUGCCCCUUUAAGGAUUUGAGGUUACAGGAUGGUAUGUUCGGGGUAAGAAGCUCAGAUAGAUAAGUUGGCCAUUUAAGGAUUUAAAAGCAAACAGCUAAAUUUUAAAAUCAAUUCUAAAAGUCACAGGGAGCCAAUGCAAAAAGACAGAACCGGAGUGAUGUGUUGGUAUUUAUGGGAUUGAGGGAGAACUCUAGCUGCAGUAAUGUAAUAAUGGUCAGCUCUCUAUGCCAUGCAAAGGUGAAUUAUAGUGGUGGAAGGGAAUUCCACAUUUAGGGUAGCUUAAAACUUUGCAGGUAAUGUGCAAAUUGUUUGAAUGGUGGAGUAAGCUAGGGUUUUAUGUCAUCAAUUGCACUUUAAAAUGUGCAACAACAAAACAUUUUUAUUGAGAACACUAGUAAAGGGGGUUAGCCAAUGGUUUGAUUAUGCUAAAAUUACCAGUGGACUGGUAACAUUCCAGCCUUUGUGCUGCACCUCUGUUUUCUAUAAGGUCAUUUACACAUACACAUAUUAAUACUAUAACUUGCAGAGUUUCAUUCAGUUUCACAGUAUUUCAGGAAAAUAUCAUUGAGAAAUAAGAAUAAUGGUAAAAUGACUGAAUGGAACCAGAGUUUAUUUACAUUCAAAAAACACAAAACAACUUAAAACAUUAGCUGCUGUAAAAGAAACUAAUGUUCUUCUACUGGCUCACUUUCUUCCUCGUGUCUUCCUGAGGUGUGUGUGUGUGUGUGUGUGUGUGUGUGUGUGUGUGUGUGUGUGUGUGUGUGUGUGUGUGUGUGUGUGUGUGUGUGUCUGUGUGUGUCAUGGAGGAUCAAACAUGGAUCUGAUGAACUGAAAUGCUUAUAUGUAAAUACAUGUAUGCAAAGUAUCAAUGUUAAAAACACAGUUGUCUUCUGACUGAAGGUGUGUGUAGAGGUCUGAUGCCACCGUGUUGGUUUGAACUAUGUCAAUAUAAAUACGGACAAAAUAAAUAAAUGUGUGUGGUGCAUUAAAAAUAAACAAAGACAAAAAAAUAUAGGUCCUUUAAGUAAGUUGCAUUGUGUGAUGAAAAUCUAAAGUGCUAAAAAUGCAUUCAACGAGAAAACAAAUGAAAGCUUCUUUUAAAAAAAUGCCAUUUUUGUAUAUAUGGGAUUUUUGUAAAUUUUUAUUUGUAACUGAGACACAGACUAAAAUUAAUUUAAUAAAGUACAGUGUGGUCAUUUU